UACGAAGGGGGCUAGCGUUGCUCGGAAUUACUGGGCGUAAAGGGCGCGUAGGCGGAUAUUUAAGUUGGGGGUGAAAUCCCGGGGCUCAACCUCGGAAUUGCCUUCAAAACUGGAUAUCUUGAGUUCGGGAGAGGUGAGUGGAACUCCGAGUGUAGAGGUGAAAUUCGUAGAUAUUCGGAAGAACACCAGUGGCGGAGGCGACUCACUGGCCCGAUACUGACGCUGAGGCGCGAAAGCGUGGGGAGCAAACAGG
rnacentral:rRNA from 1 species